AUCGCUUCUCGGCCUUUUGGCUAAGAUCAAGUGUAGUAUAUAAGAUUCACACAUAAGAAUUAUAAACAUAGCACACAUA
rnacentral:snRNA from 1 species